rnacentral:rRNA from 1 species
AUGCAAGUCGAGCGGAAAGGCCCUUCGGGGUACUCGAGCGGCGAACGGGUGAGUAACACGUGAGCAACCUGCCCCAAGCUUUGGGAUAACCCUCGGAAACGGGGGCUAAUACCGAAUAGGACCUGGCCCCGCAUGGGGUUGGGUGGAAAGUUUUUCGGCUUGGGAUGGGCUCGCGGCCUAUCAGCUUGUUGGUGGGGUGAUGGCCUACCAAGGCGACGACGGGUAGCCGGCCUGAGAGGGCGACCGGCCACACUGGGACUGAGACACGGCCCAGACUCCUACGGGAGGCAGCAGUGGGGAAUAUUGCACAAUGGGCGGAAGCCUGAUGCAGCGACGCCGCGUGAGGGAUGACGGCCUUCGGGUUGUAAACCUCUUUCAGCAGGGACGAAGCGAGAGUGACGGUACCUGCAGAAGAAGCACCGGCCAACUACGUGCCAGCAGCCGCGGUAAGACGUAGGGUGCGAGCGUUGUCCGGAUUUAUUGGGCGUAAAGAGCUCGUAGGCGGCUUGUCGCGUCGACCGUGAAAACUUGGGGCUCAACCCCAAGCCUGCGGUCGAUACGGGCAGGCUAGAGUUCGGUAGGGGAGACUGGAAUUCCUGGUGUAGCGGUGAAAUGCGCAGAUAUCAGGAGGAACACCGGUGGCGAAGGCGGGUCUCUGGGCCGAUACUGACGCUGAGGAGCGAAAGCGUGGGGAGCGAACAGGAUUAGAUACCCUGGUAGUCCACGCUGUAAACGUUGGGCGCUAGGUGUGGGGGGCCUCUCCGGUUCCCUGUGCCGCAGCUAACGCAUUAAGCGCCCCGCCUGGGGAGUACGGCNGCAAGGCUAAAACUCAAAGGAAUUGACGGGGGCCCGCACAAGCGGCGGAGCAUGCGGAUUAAUUCGAUGCAACGCGAAGAACCUUACCUGGGUUUGACAUGGCCGCAAAACCUCCAGAGAUGGGGGGUCCUUCGGGGGCGGUCACAGGUGGUGCAUGGCUGUCGUCAGCUCGUGUCGUGAGAUUUUGGGUUAAGUCCCGCAACGAGCGCAACCCUCGUUCGAUGUUGCCAGCGCGUUAUGGCGGGGACUCAUCGAAGACUGCCGGGGUCAACUCGGAGGAAGGUGGGGAUGACGUCAAGUCAUCAUGCCCCUUAUGUCCAGGGCUUCACGCAUGCUACAAUGGCCGGUACAAUGGGCUGCNGAUACCGUGAGGUGGAGCGAAUCCCAAAAAGCCGGUCUCAGUUCGGAUCGGGGUCUGCAACUCGACCCCGUGAAGUCGGAGUCGCUAGUAAUCGC